CCAGUACUGUGAAGGAAAGGUGAAAAGCACUUCGAAUAGAAGAGUGAAAUAGUCCCUGAAACCAUGCGCCUACAAGCGGUCGGAGCAGCUUAAGCUGUGACGGCGUGCCUUUUGCAUAAUGAACCUACGAGUUACUUUUUCCGGCAAGGUUAAGCAUCUUGAGAUGUGGAUCCGAAGCGAAAGCGAGUCUGAACAGGGCGGAUAGUCGGAAGGAGUAGACGCGAAACCAAGUGAUCUACCCUUGGGCAGGUUGAAGGUUAGGUAACACUAACUGGAGGACCGAAC
rnacentral:rRNA from 1 species